ACUCAAAGGAAUUGACGGGGGCCCGCACAAGCGGUGGAGCAUGUGGUUUAAUUCGACGCAACGCGCAGAACCUUACCUGGGCUAGAAAAUGCAGGAACCCGGUCGAAAGGUCGGGGUGCCCUUCGGGGAAUCUGUAGUUAGGUGCUGCAUGGCUGUCGUCAGCUCGUGUCGUAAGAUGUUGGGUUAAGUCCCGCAACGAGCGCAACCCUUGCCGUUAGUUGCCAGCAUUCAGUUGGGCACUCUAACGGGACUGCCGACCCUUAAGUCGGAGGAAGGUGGGGAUGACGUCAAGUCCUCAUGGCCCUUAUGUCCAGGGCUACACACGUGCUACAAUGGCCGGCACAAAGGGCAGCAAACCCGUGAGGGGGAGCCAAUCCCAAAAAACCGGCCUCAGUUCGGAUAAGAGUCUGCAACUCGACUCUUUGAAGUCGGAAUCGCUAGUAAUCCCUGAUCAGCAUGGCAGGGGUGAAUACGUUCCCGGGCCUUGUACACACCGCCCGU
rnacentral:rRNA from 1 species